rnacentral:rRNA from 1 species
UUCCGACCAGUUCGGAUAAAGGUAAUGUUGAAGGUAAACUGCAACAAGUCCGCCGGGAGCUCGGCUCUCACCAAACCGCUGUCAUGAAGAAAUGGGAAAAAGAUAACGCGAAGAGCGCCAAGGAGUUCUGGGCCAAGUCAACCAUAGAAACAGAAGAUAAACUCAUCGAGAACGUCUGGCACGAAGCCCUGCAUGCCCGGCGUUGUGCUUAUCGAGCCGAUGGCGUUGCGCCCGGACUGGCCAUGCCCAGCACGGUCCAGGAUUUCUCAUUGUGGCACGGUGAUUACCAUAUGAACUUCAAUUAUCAGUCGCCCUUCUGGGGUGAUUAUACGGCCAACCAUAUCGAGGU